UACGGAGGGUGCAAGCGUUAAUCGGAAUUACUGGGCGUAAAGCGCGCGUAGGCGGUUUGAUAAGUCGAUUGUGAAAUCCCCGGGCUCAACCUGGGAAUUGCAGUCGAGACUGUCAGACUAGAGUGUGGGAGAGGGUGGUGGAAUUCCCAGUGUAGAGGUGAAAUUCGUAGAUAUUGGGAAGAACACCGGUGGCGAAGGCGGCUCUCUGGACCACAACUGACGCUGAGGCGCGAAAGCGUGGGGAGCGAACAGG
rnacentral:rRNA from 1 species